GGCUCAAUUGGCCGCCCAUCAGCGGGUCUAAAGCGCUGCAUUUCAGGUAGCAGUCUCCCCUGGAGGCCCGUGGGUUCGAAUCCCACUUCUG